GCUAGUUGGUGAGGUAAGGGCUUACCAAGGCGACGACGGAUAGCCGGCGUGAGAGCGUGGCCGGCCACAAGGACACUGAGAUACGGGUCCUACUCCUACGGGAGGCAGCAGUGCGGAAUUUUAGAUAAUGGAGGGAACUCUGAUCUAGCGACGCCGCGUGCAGGAAGAAGGUCUUCGGAUUGUAAACUGCUGUGGUAAGGGAAAAAUGCUAUGUAGAGUGGAAAGCUACAUAGAGGGAUGGUACCUUACUAGAAAGCCCCGGCUAACUACGUGCCAGCAGCCGCGGUAAUACGUAGGGGGCGAGCGUUACCCGGAAUCACUGGGCGUAAAGGGAGCGUAGGUGGCCUAACAUGUCAACUGUGAAAACCCGGAGCUCAACUCCGGACUUGCAGUUGAAACUGGUAGGCUUGAGGACGGUAGAGGAAGACGGAACUGCCAGUGUAGGGGUAAAAUCCUUAGAUAUUGGCAGGAACGCCGGUGACGAAGGUGGUUUUCUGGGCCGGUUCUGACACUGAUGCUCGAAAGCCAGGGGAGCGAACGGGAUUAGAUACCCCGGUAGUCCUGGCCCUAAACGAUGUUCACUAGGUGUGGGGAGCGGAAAGCUCUCCGUGCUAAAGCUAACGCGAUA
rnacentral:rRNA from 1 species